UAGUACUUCUGAGGUUGGGUUAAAUUCCCAGCCGGUGGUGGUUCCUCCUACGCCCUUCGACUCACAGGGUUCGCUCAGGGCUUCGGAGGACAAGCCCAUGACUCCUUCGACUCCGCAGACGUCGCUCAGGAUGCAGAAUCCUUCGACUCCGCAGACGUCGCUCAGGAUUGAUCCGGUGAGAAUCCGGAGCCGACGGUACAGUCCGGAUGAAAGAAGGGGAU
rnacentral:ncRNA from 2 species